GACGAACGCUGGCGGCGUGCUUAACACAUGCAAGUUGAACGAAGAGCGAUGGAAGCUUGCUUCUAUCAAUCUUAGUGGCGAACGGGUGAGUAACGCGUAAUCAACCUGCCCUUCAGAGGGGGACAACAGUUGGAAACGACUGCUAAUACCGCAUACGAUCUAAUCUCGGCAUCGAGGAUGGAUGAAAGGUGGCCUCUAUGUAUAAGCUAUCACUGAAGGAGGGGAUUGCGUCUGAUUAGCUAGUUGGAGGGGUAACGGCCCACCAAGGCGAUGAUCAGUAGCCGGUCUGAGAGGAUGAACGGCCACAUUGGGACUGAGACACGGCCCAGACUCCUACGGGAGGCAGCAGUGGGGAAUCUUCCGCAAUGGACGAAAGUCUGACGGAGCAACGCCGCGUGAGUGAUGACGGCCUUCGGGUUGUAAAGCUCUGUUAAUCGGGACGAAAGGCCUUCUUGCGAACAGUUAGA
rnacentral:rRNA from 1 species